rnacentral:rRNA from 1 species
CCUACGGGUGGCAGCAGUGGGGAAUAUUGGGCAAUGGGCGCAAGCCUGACCCAGCAAUGCCGCGUGAAGGAAGAAGGCUUUCGGGUUGUAAACUUCUUUGACAGGGGAAGAGCAGAAGACGGUACCCUGAAAACAACCCACCGAUAACUACGUGCCAGCAGCCGCGGUAAUACGUAGGUGGAAAGCGUUGCCCGGAUUUACUGGGUGUAAAGGGCGUGUAGACGGGAAGGCAAGUCAGAUGUGAAAUCUGGAGGCUCAACCUCCAAAUUGCAUUUGAAACUGUUUUUCUUGAGUACAGGAGAGGCAGGCGGAAUUCCUUGUGUAGCGGUGAAAUGCGUAGAUAUAAGGAGGAACACCAGUGGCGAAGGCGGUCUGCUGGACGGCGACUGACGGUGAGGCGCGAAAGCGUGGGGAGCAAACAGGAUUAGAUACCCUGGUAGUC